rnacentral:rRNA from 1 species
UAGUCCUAGUGAUCUGAUUACUUUUCGUUUUUAUCAUAAAGAAUGAUAAUUAUUUAAAAGUG